GAUGAACGCUGGCGGCGUGCCUAAUACAUGCAAGUCGAGCGAACAGACGAGGAGCUUGCUCCUCUGACGUUAGCGGCGGACGGGUGAGUAACACGUGGAUAACCUACCUAUAAGACUGGGAUAACUUCGGGAAACCGGAGCUAAUACCGGAUAAUAUGUUGAAUCGCAUGGUUCAACAGUGAAAGACGGUCUUGCUGUCACUUAUAGAUAGAUCCGCGCCGCAUUAGCUAGUUGGUAAGGUAACGGCUUACCAAGGCAACGAUGCGUAGCCGACCUGAGAGGGUGAUCGGCCACACUGGAACUGAGACACGGUCCAGACUCCUACGGGAGGCAGCAGUAGGGAAUCUUCCGCAAUGGGCGAAAGCCUGACGGAGCAACGCCGCGUGAGUGAAGAAGGUCUUCGGAUCGUAAAACUCUGUUAUUAGGGAAGAACAAAUGUGUAAGUAACUAUGCACGUCUUGACGGUACCUAAUCAGAAAGCCACGGCUAACUACGUG
rnacentral:rRNA from 1 species